GACGAACGCUGGCGGCGUGCUUAACACAUGCAAGUCGAACGGAAAGGCCCUGCUUUUGUGGGGUGCUCGAGUGGCGAACGGGUGAGUAACACGCGAGUAACCUGCCCUUGACUUUGGGAUAACUUCAGGAAACUGGGGCUAAUACCGGAUAGGAGCCCCUGCUGCAUGGUGGGGGUUGGAAAGUUUCGGCGGUUGGGGAUGGACUCGCGGCUUAUCAGCUUGUUGGUGGGGUAGUGGCUUACCAAGGCUUUGACGGGUAGCCGGCCUGAGGGGGUGACCGGCCACAUUGGGACUGAGAUACGGCCCAGACUCCUACGGGAGGCAGCAGUGGGGAAUAUUGCACAAUGGGCGGAAGCCUGAUGCAGCAACGCCGCGUGCGGGAUGACGGCCUUCGGGUUGUAAACCGCUUUCGCCUGUGACGAAGCGUGAGUGACGGUAAUGGGUAAAGAAGCACCGGCUAACUACGUG
rnacentral:rRNA from 1 species